CUGGAUUUCAGCUUUGGCAAGCUUCCUCUGUUUCUGAGCCACCUCCAUCACCUGGGAUCCUUUGCACAUGGCCUGCUAUCAACAAUCUUCUACAAUGAUUCUCAGCAUCACCUGGGGAGCUUAUGCAAAAUCUCAAAUUCCUGGGCCCUAUCCCCAGAGUUUCUUAUCGAGUAAGUCUGCAUUGGGAUCUGAGGAUUUGCAUCUCUAACAAAAAUUCCUAGGCGAUGCUCACACUGUUGGUGUAAGGGUCCACUCACAAAUCGCAGCUGGUAUGGACUGGCACGCCCCAAAUAAGAGGAACCUAAGAGCUUGGCUCCAAGACCCCCCACCAUCCCGGUGGGUUUGCUUGGCCUUUAGGACGUGUGACUACAGCUUUUGGGUAGGUACAGGGCAAUCAAGAUUGAGGAAGAACACUUCAGCAAAGCAACCACUAUUUGUCCACAAAAACAGUGAAAAACGGUGAUAUAAAAUUAACAAUCCAAAUAUAAAUCUAACGCCAUUCUGCAUUUCCAGAACUUUUUUUAUAUUUGUGCAGUGUUCUUGGUCAACCACUCACCAAUUUUCUGCGUCUAUCUGAAGUACUUUUAAAGUUAUUAAAACUGCUCUUUUGACCAUAAGUCACAUAGAAUUGUGAUUAGGAAAUCAAUUUACUUAUUACUCUGUGCAGGGCACCUGCUAGGGUGGUGAGUGUAAAGGAACUAAAAAUGGAAGUCUCUCACUUCUAAACUGGACACAGGAGUUCUCAAAUUAAAAUAAUAAAAAAAAAAAAAAAAAGGGAGAGAGGUGCUUACUGGCAACAUUAAUACUAGACACCAGACAAGACAGUGAAACGGUUUGUUCAGAACUGAGGAACACCAUUUCCUUGAAAAGUCUUAAAAAUACCUAACCAAGCACUGCCUUAAGUCCAGUGAGUACAAUGUUCCAUACGUUUCCACAAAAAUAUUGUAACUGGCAUUCACUCAUCAUGAUCCACGUCAUCUCAGUCUCCACUUUCCAGGCAAAGUGUCUCUGUCCCACCGCCUCUAGCUACAGGCUAUCGUCUCCAGCUGCUGUUCUGCUUCCGCAGCCAUCGCUGCCGCCUGCAACUGUUCUGUCUCGCUCUGGAUGGCACUGGGGGUAACCUGCUUCCUUUCACUGUGCAUAUUGUUCUCGUGCCUUUUCAGAUCAGAUGCCUUGGCAAAUGCCUUGGUGCAGGAGCCACACACAAAAGGCUUUUCCCCUCUGUGUCUUCUUUCAUGAUCCUUGAGGUGAGACUUGUGUUUGAAGGCUUUGUCACACAUGUGGCACGCAAACGGUCUUUCAUUACUGUGAACUCUCUCAUGCUUCUUUAAGUCUGGGGCACGGAUAAAUGAUUUUCCACACACCUCACAGCUAUAGGGCUUAUAUCCCGUGUGGAUUUUUAGGUGUUCUUUCAGGUGGGCCUGUGUGGUGAAACCUUUUGUGCACAUUUCACAAACAAAUGGCCUGUCCGCCGUGUGGAGUUUCUCAUGCUUCCUCAAUCUGCCUUCAUCAGAAAACGUCUUCCCACACGCCUGGCAGGCAAUCUGCUCCCGAUGGUGACCAUAAAGCAAAUACUCAAACUUCAUGUCACUGGCGGCUGUUGUCCAGCCUGGUGUCUGUUCAUCUUUCACUUCACUCAUCCCAUCAUUAAAUGUUAAGGCUUGAGGGGUCUGGGACCCCAAGUCUUUUGAUUCUGGGGUCUCCAUGGAUUCUACUUCCUGGCCAUAGCAAUUGACCUUCCGAACUUCCUCACUCCCCAGCUCUUUCAAGAUCGCUUCCUGAACCCUGAGCGUUGUGGUGGGCGACUUGCCGUCCUCCUGGCUCGG
rnacentral:lncRNA from 1 species